AUUCAAAGAGUCUAUAAAGCUAUUCCAGAAAUCCUGGAGAUUGAGAGCACAUGGGUGGGGAAGCUCCUUCAUUUAGAUAAAAAGUUUUGAUCGAUCAGACUUGCAAGUCUUCUACUAAAAUGUUAAACAAGGUGAUUCAAAGAAUGAACCUGUGGGGGAUCCUGAAAGAAGGAAUUUUUGACCGAGAGAAGGACAAGAUUGUGCCCCAGCCUGUUGUUUCCUACCUACAAACCUGUCCCCAAACCUGAUAGCAUGGGACCCACUUUGAGCACAGGAGGAGGCAGCCCGGAGUCAGUCAGGCUCCUUUGGAGAGGCAGCAGAGUGGCUUCCUCAGAGCAAGUGGAAAACAAAGCAUCAAGCCACCUCGGGAGAGAGCGUGCAGGCCGGCGUUCAGAAGGACGUUCACCCAGGAACGCACGCCCUGGCACACCCGGGCCGAGGAGGUGGCUCGUGGAGCACGGCCUCAGCCUGGACACGCCCGGCAAGCUUUCGAGUGAACACUGCCACCUGAUCUGUUAAAAAGUUUCAAUUUGACUUCCAGAAUUUUCAGUGUGUGAUUGGCCAGUGGGAUGCUAGCGUCGUAGCAUUACAAGGCGAGUCGGCACUCGUCGAGUCCGGCUCCCUGGCGAGGGUAUUUCCAGGUCGGGCUGUCCGCCUUCACUGUAGAGAGAUCUAGAAAGAUGACACCAGGAGCUCUGUCCAUCUGCAGAGUUGAAGUCUUUCUUGAAUAGGUCACUCCCAGAGUCCGUUCAUGUCAUUAGAAUAAGGUGACCUGUGGCAGGGAAGGUG
rnacentral:lncRNA from 1 species